CAGUCAGUGCUGGUGUGUGAUUGCAGCCAAAGACCGGGUGCAGUGCCAGAAAUGUGGUGCAUACAAGCACAUGCGUUGUUCAAAGUCUGUUUGUGGCAUCUGUAUCUUCUGUGAGAGGCCGUAAAGCCAAACUGCCCGCAAUGAUUCUUGACAGGCCUAAGAAGGCCAAAACUAAAGUAACAGUGUUUAGUGUUCUGAGUGAAGAGGAGGCUGGGGAGCUAGCCCUCGGGUUUGCCGGAAGAUUGGCCUGCGAUGUCACAACAGACAUGGUCUGUAAAGGCAUCGACCAUUCAAGUGCUGAUAUGACAAAACAGACUCUUCUCAAAAUCCAACACAAUCUUAAACAUGAGCUGACUGAUUCCUCAACCUUCAGUUUGCUGACACACACCUUUGGCCCCGCUGCACUGGAUUCUGUCAUUUCAUUCCUGUGUGAAAAACUUGAUCUUGUCUCUUAAAUAAUGAAACCUUUUGUGACUUUUGUUUGUUCUGUAAAUCAGAAUCUUGAAAAUUGUUCAUUGUUGUUCUAAGUUUGUGUUAACUAUUUGGCAAAAAUGAUUGGUUCCUAAUCCAAACAGCAUAAUGACUGUUCUAACACAUAUCUUAAAAAUGCUACAAAGAAAGAAAAUUAUCACAUAUGUUUCAAUAUGAAUGUAAUUGUGUCACACUCGGUUUGUAGUAGCUUUCCUGUUUUAUUUUGAGUUUUGGUAUGUUUACACUGUUAUUUUUAUUUCCCGUGUGUUCGUCUUCCCUUAUUAGUUUUACUGUAUUUAAUUAGUCUGAUUUAAUAACUUAUAAUUAUUUACUUUCCAGUGUGUAUAUAUGCUCCUCGUUUGGAUUAUUGUUUGUUUGAGUUCUGCCUGUCUUUUCUAUUAAAGAUUUGGACUUUUGGACUAUUA